rnacentral:rRNA from 1 species
AGAGUUUGAUCCUGGCUCAGAUUGAACGCUGGCGGCAUGCUUUACACAUGCAAGUCGAACGGCAGCACGGGCUUCGGCCUGGUGGCGAGUGGCGAACGGGUGAGUAAUGCGUCGGAACGCGCCGAGUAGUGGGGGAUAACGCAGCGAAAGCUGUGCUAAUACCGCAUACGUACUGAGGUAGAAAGUGGGGGACCCUCGGGCCUCACGCUAUUCGAGCGGCCGACGUCUGAUUAGCUAGUUGGUGGGGUAAAGGCUCACCAAGGCGACGAUCAGUAGCGGGUCUGAGAGGAUGAUCCGCCACACUGGGACUGAGACACGGCCCAGACUCCUACGGGAGGCAGCAGUGGGGAAUUUUGGACAAUGGGCGCAAGCCUGAUCCAGCCAUGCCGCGUGUCUGAAGAAGGCCUUCGGGUUGUAAAGGACUUUUGUCCGGGAGCAAAGCCUACUUGUUA